GACUCAAUAUGAAAAAGAGAAUGUAAACUAUUUCACUAAUACCUUUGAAAAUGCUGAUUACAUAUUGCAAUAAUAUUUGGAUAUUUGUGUUAAACAGAAUAUAUCGUUAAAAUCAAUUGCACCUGUUUCUUUUUCUUUUUCUAAAGUGACUACCAUUAGAACACUUAAAAUUACAUACGCAGACCAGAGUCUAUAUCUCUUGGACAGCGCUGUUCUUUCUAUACGGAGUUGCUUUCAAAGAAGCCCCAUCAAAUAGCCAAAAGUAAUCAGGCGUACCAACAGCAAAAGGCAAACGACAAACAAAACACCCAGGGAUUUCAGUCUUUAAUUUGUGUCUCUUUGGAAAACAACACGGAAGCGUCACUAAUGCUUCUUACAUUUCCUUUCCUCUUGUCCCAGUUUUCUUGCACUCAAUGCUAUUUUGGAGCCUUUACUUUGCCACUUCCCCGCCCCCGCUGCCAACUACUCAUACGCCAUCGGUCCACUUCAGCCCACAGGACAUUUGUUUGCGCUCCACUGUUCUACCAGCUGCACCACUACACCGCCUCUCUAUAGGAUCCUUCCUCUCCACCUCCUGCCUCUCACACCUCAUUUCUUAUCUCUUCUCUGAAUUAACACCUCCGAAGAGCUGUUCUCUGGUUUCACAGCCAGAGGGACACAGGGAGAGUGGGGCAGACUACCAUUAACCAAAGUCAUAAAAGACUGAUGGAUAAACCAGAGUGCCAAAGAGUUCGUUGACAACAGAGAGUCUUUUGGGGGGGGGGGGGGACUGCACGCUCCCUCUGCAGUGGAGGAACACCGACCCUAGGUCUAUAUUAUAUGCUGUGUGGGAUGUGUAUUGCACAAAGCCAGGGGACACAUUUACACAGAAUGUAGUAUAAUGUCACACGUACAGCAUGGUGGUUCCCAGUAUGCUCUGGGUUCCUGAGAAGGUGAAUUACCAAGUUCAGCGAGCUCAGUAUUAGAACUAAGAAACUCUUGAGAGAGAUUUGAUCAAAGCCACGGUGGAUGCUUCCCCUUCAGGAGCCAAAUGUAACUAUGUGGAGGCCGGAGUGCCUGAAUCCCCGGAUUUGCUGACUCUGCCUCUUGGCCAGGCCCGGAUAAACACUGACUAGUUCCUAUUCUUUGGCUUUCUCUUUUCCCAGGCUCCAGGAAGAAUCACGCUGUUCUGAUGACAAGGUUCUCCUAUAAGCCUGAACAGGAGACACUUGAUCGGGUUUCAGCUCGGCUGCAAGGAAGCUUGGGAUUUCAUUACUGCAACUUCCCUCAGCCGAGAGUUCUUGACGAGGAAACGGAGGCACAGAGACUCCCAGUUACUUGCCCAAGACAGCACAGAUGUAAGUAGAGGAGCCGGGAUUGGAAUCCAGCUGUGUGGCUCCCGACCCCGCCACCUGCAUUGGGGUGAAGCAGCCCGGCCCCCUGGGACAAGGAGCCACGUGUGCGGAGAGCCCAGAGGGUGCUCAGCUUGUCUUUACGCGCUGUCAGUGCGCAUCUCGGGCCACACGAAGGGCCCACCGAGGGGCAUCCAGCAGUCUCCAUCCUUCCUGUCCCCUCUUCCUUUACCUGGAAUGCAGGUACUCUCCUGACAACCUCGUGAUGGGGAGACUGUUAGUCCCAUCUUACAGGUGAAGAAGUUGAGACGUGAAAGGCCAAGGAACUUCCCCAGGACCUCACGGAUCCUAAGUGGCAGAGCUGAGGCUUGAACCCAGGGCUUUCCAGGCCCAUCUAAAGAAAAACAGCCAAGUCAUUUUCUCAGAACAAGGGGGUGGCGGGGGGGGGGGGUUCCACCCCCACGGCCACCACUGUUCUUGUCACUUGUGUCUUAGAAGCUCUCUGUGCAGGCCCCGCCUCUCUGUCCCCCCUCUGCCCAGGGCUGAGUGAGAUGGCCCAGCUCUCUUCACUUUGGGAAGCUGUGCAGUUUGGGGUUUCUCCGGGUCUGGGGACUGCCGAGAGUCUGUGGCUGCACCCAACCAGGGGGCAGGUCUCAUGCCCGGGGGAUGAUCUGCCGUCCUCCCCAGGAGCCCCGAGCCACGGUGGGAGGCACUGUGCCCCGUCCCUGAGGUCGCAGCAGGCCAGGCAAAGACAGAGGUAGGACCCAGCAAGGCUGCUCAGGGGCCUUGGCCACGUCCCUGCCAAACCCCUGCUCUGUCAGUGAAGAGCCUUUUGAAGCCUCUCCCCAGUUUUGGAGUUGGAGGGUGGCUGAGGGAGCGGGAAGGAACCCCCAUUCGGGGAUCUGGGGGUCUGGGUGGGAUUUAGGAACAGCCCAGCGGUGUUCUCUGGACAUCCCCAGGGCCUCUGCUGAGGGGCGGCCCUCUCUGUCUCGCUCGGCUGCUCUUGGCACCUUUACACGGGCACACACGGGCUUCCCUCCCACGGGUGGGCGGGCAGGAGCCCGGGAUCCACAGCGGGAUCAGGACGAUCCUACGAUGUAGUGAAGCUGUCCGUGCCCCACCCAGACCCCCUUAGCAUGCCCCAGCCCCUGCCAACAGGACGGCGGAGGGCACGGCUCCCUGCCUGCAUGUCUUCUCCAGGCCAGGGCAGGUCAGCAAGCAGGGGGCUGGAUGACACCCCAGGGGGAUGAAGUCCCGGCGGCCCAUGGUGGUAACGUGCCCCACACCAUAGUUUACAGACUUCCUACACUUCUGUGCCCCACUGCUUUCUGGGACAAAAUCCUGGAUCUGCGGCAAAGCCCCGUCUGCCCCUUCCAAGCUGUGCAAUGCUGGGCCAGUGAAAUGGGAGCAAAGUAGCAUUUAGCUCUUCGAGGAUUACAUUAGUCUGAGGAUGACACGAGGCGGCUCCCGUGAAGAGUUGGCACAGUGGCUGGCGCAGAGCAGCCUUUCUGUAAG